rnacentral:tRNA from 1 species
AGUCUUAUAUUCAAUUAUGAUUUUAAUUUGCAAAAUUAAAGGUAAGUUAAUCUUUAAGGCUU